UACGGAGGUGGCAAGCGUUGUUCGGAAUUACUGGGCGUAAAGGGCGCGUAGGCGGCAAGGCAAGUCAGGUGUGAAAGCCCCGGGCUUAACUCGGGAAUUGCAUCUGAAACUGCUGUGCUUGAGUUCUGGAGGGGGUAGUGGAAUUCCCAGUGUAGCGGUGAAAUGCGUAGAUAUUGGGAGGAACACCUGCGGCGAAGGCGGCUACCUGGACAGAAACUGACGCUGAGGCGCGAAAGCGUGGGGAGCAAACAGG
rnacentral:rRNA from 1 species